rnacentral:rRNA from 1 species
AACGUAGGUCCCGAGCGUUAUCCGGAUUUACUGGGCGUAAAGCGCGUUCAGGCGGUUUGGCAAGUCGGGCAUGAAAUCUCUCGGCUCAACCGGGAGAGGUUGUCCGAUACUGCUGGACUUGAGGGCAGUAGAGGGUGGUGGAAUUCCGGGUGUAGUGGUGAAAUGCGUAGAUAUCCGGAGGAACACCAGUGGCGAAAGCGGCCACCUGGACUGUACCUGACGCUGACACGCGAAAGCUAGGGGAGCGAACGGG